rnacentral:tRNA from 1 species
GCAGGUCUAUCGCCAAGCGGUAAGGCAGCGGCUUUUCUGGCGCCGCAAGGUGUGAGAGUUCAAGUCUCUCUUUCCGCACCA